GUGCCCUAUCGAAGCUCUUCCCCUACUGUAGGGGAUUCCUUUGAAGUCCAUGAUUCGGGAUCUAAGAAGAGAGGUUCGUCACCUAACGAAGAAAUCAAAGAAGAUGGAUGACGAACUUCAUAAGCUGAGGAAGAGCCAUUCGGAAGCUACUGUGAAGGUUACUCACCUUUGGAACCUCCACAAAAAGGGCUUCAUGGACUACAC
rnacentral:lncRNA from 1 species